GGGCCAUUAACGUUUGACUCCAGCUGCCCAGACCUGGGAGCCAGCUUCAGGAUGUUAUGUCUUCCUCCCUUCCCAUGCACUUGAGUUUCCUUCUUCAAGAGAAUCUGUCAGAGGAUGAUGGUUCUACACCAGGUUGCCUUCAGCUCCAAGAAGAAAUGAAGUCAGCCCUCAGUAUAUGAUAUCCCCCGUGUAUCUUUCCAUCUAAUCUAGCCAGAACGUGCACAGAAUGGGAGCCUGGCUGUUUUCUGCAUCAGACAUUCACCAACCCUGCAUGCUGCUCUCCUGGCCAAUGCCUUGCUCAUCAGCUGCCUUCUAAGGAAGGGUCUCUGGUGUGCUGCUGGCACUGGGCAGCAGACACUUCUGACCAGGAUGUAUCCUCCCUUGUCAGCAAAGCUGUGGUUUCCUUCCCCAUAUGCUGCACAGAAUAACCAAGACCAGGACAUUCAUCUCCCAC
rnacentral:lncRNA from 1 species